rnacentral:rRNA from 1 species
CACGUAGGGGGCAAGCGUUGUCCGGAUUUAUUGGGCGUAAAGAGCUCGUAGGCGGCUUAGUAAGUCGGGUGUGAAACCUCCAGGCUCAACCUGGAGACGCCACCCGAUACUGCUGUGGCUAGAGUCCGGUAGGGGAGCGUGGAAUUCCUGGUGUAGCGGUGAAAUGCGCAGAUAUCAGGAGGAACACCAGCGGCGAAGGCGGCUCACUGGCCCGGUACUGACGCUGAGGUGCGAAAGCGUGGGGAGCAAACAGG